rnacentral:rRNA from 1 species
GAUGAACGCUGGCGGCGUGCCUAAUACAUGCAAGUCGAGCGAACAGAUGAGGAGCUUGCUCCUCUGACGUUAGCGGCGGACGGGUGAGUAACACGUGGAUAACCUACCUAUAAGACUGGGAUAACUUCGGGAAACCGGAGCUAAUACCGGAUAAUAUAUUGAACCGCAUGGUUCAAUAGUGAAAGACGGUUUUGCUGUCACUUAUAGAUGGAUCCGCGCCGCAUUAGCUAGUUGGUAAGGUAACGGCUUACCAAGGCAACGAUGCGUAGCCGACCUGAGAGGGUGAUCGGCCACACUGGAACUGAGACACGGUCCAGACUCCUACGGGAGGCAGCAGUAGGGAAUCUUCCGCAAUGGGCGAAAGCCUGACGGAGCAACGCCGCGUGAGUGAUGAAGGUCUUCGGAUCGUAAAACUCUAUUAUUAGGGAAGAACAAAUGUGUAAGUAACUAUGCACGUCUUGACGGUACCUAAUCAGAAAGCCACGGCUAACUACGUG